rnacentral:rRNA from 1 species
GACAGAGGUGCCGAGCGUUAGGCGGAAUCACUGGGCUUAAAGCGUGUGUAGGCGGAUUGCUAAGUACCUUGUGAAAUCCCACGGCUUAACCGUGGAACUGCUUGGUAUACUGGCUGUCUUGAGCCACCUAGGGGCAACCGGAACAAACGGUGGAGCGGUGAAAUGCGUAGAUAUCGUUUGGAACGCCAAUGGUGAAAACAGGUUGCUGGGGGUGUGCUGACGCUGAGACACGAAAGCCAGGGGAGCAAACGGG